CGAAAGAUGGUGAACUAUUCCUGGCCAGGAUGAAGCCAGAGGAAACUCUGGUGGAGGUCCGCAGCAAUUCUGACGUGCAAAUCGAUUGUCAGAGCUGGGUAUAGGGGCGAAAGACCAAUCGAACCAUCUAGUAGCUGGUUCCCUCCGAAGUUUCCCUCAGGAAAGCUGACACUUACUGACUGAUUUGCAUCCGGUAAAGAGAAUGAUUGGAGGUCUUGGGGACGCAAUGUCCUCAACCUACUCUCAAACUUUAAAUGGGUGUCUCGUUUGUCGCCGCUUUCUUUAAUUAGUGAAGCGAGGCAACAAAUCAAAGUGUCUAGUGGGCCAAGUUUU
rnacentral:rRNA from 1 species